UCAGGACGAACGCUGGCGGCGUGCCUAACACAUGCAAGUCGAACGGAAGUAAGCGCUGAUGAAGCUUCGGCGGAUCUGCUUACUUAGUGGCGGACGGGCGAGUAACGCGUGAGCAACCUGCCCUUCAGAGGGGGACAACAGUUGGAACGACUGCUAAUACCGCAUAACGUAUCGGGAUGGCAUCAUUUUGAUACCAAAGGAAGCAAUUCCGCUGGAGGAUGGGCUCGCGUCCGAUUAGGUAGUUGGUGAGGUAACGGCCCACCAAGCCGACGAUCGGUAGCCGAACUGAGAGGUUGAUCGGCCGCAUUGGGACUGAGACACGGCCCAGACUCCUACGGGAGGCAGCAGUGGGGGAUAUUGCACAAUGGGGGAAACCCUGAAUGCAGCAACGCCGCGUGAGGGAAGACGGUCUUCGGAUUGUAAACCUAAGUUGUCAGGGACGAUUAUGACGGUACCUGAAGAGAAAGCUCCGGCUAACUACGUGCCAGCAGCGGC
rnacentral:rRNA from 1 species